CUCUGUGUAGAGCAAUGGGUAGCGUGUUGGAGUUCUAAUCCAAAAGUCGUGGGUUUGAAUCCCAACUCAGAUGA